UACGGGGGGGGGCAAGCGUUGUUCGGAAUUACUGGGCGUAAAGGGCUCGUAGGUGGCCAACUAAGUCAGACGUGAAAUCCCCUCGGCUUAACCGGGAACUGCGUCUGAUACUGGAUGGCUUGAAUUCGGGAGAGGGAUGCAGAAUUCCAGGUGUAGCGGUGAAAUGCGUAGAUAUCUGGAGGAAUACCGGUGGCGAAGGCGGCAUCCUGGACCGACAUUGACGCUGAACGGCGAAAGCUAGGGGAGCAAACGGG
rnacentral:rRNA from 1 species